rnacentral:lncRNA from 1 species
GGCGAAUAGGGCCCUGAGCAGACCGUGCCUUUAGUCCGGGGAAGCUCCGGGUUUAGGUGGGUCUCUCGGUUGGGCUUUCCCCCACCAAGGACCCCUUUUUCCCCUGCAGAAGCCACGUUUGCAGCACCACAUCCCCCGGAUGACCGUGCCCGCUGACUCACCGGAGGCUUCAUAACUCGCAUCGGAGGUGAGCAGUGAAAGCACCGAAGGAAACAAAACAGGUCUUUCAGGUCCAUUUGAAAACUAGAGACCUCAGAGUAGAGACAGAUGACUCCUGGAAUGCCCUGACCUUCCAGAGUCUUUGUGGCCACUCCUGGCCAGCUGCGAACUGUGAAAGGACAUCUAUUCAUCUUCGUUGCCUCCCACACUCUCCUUGUCUCUCCUCAUUCAGAUAUAAGUUUGCUAAAAUGGCUAAAGAGGUCUUUAUAAGGGAGAAAUGACAUAAUGGAUGAAAAAUUACGUGCUAAACUGUAAGGCUAGCCUGGACUUGUUCAUGUGGCAAAGUCAGAGGAGCAAGAGAGAGAAAGCAAAAAUGUGCUUUUUCAAGCCUUUGCUUGUGUUAUAUUUGCUAACAUCCCAUUGUUCACACGUGGCUGAACCCAGAGUCAAGGGUUGGGGCGGAAAACCCCAUCCACAGUGGGAAGGUGCUGCAACAUUAUACGGAAAAGAAAUUGAGGAUCUCACUAGGUUGCAUCUGGGGCUGUGGCCUCAUCAGAAACUCAGCCAGGGAAACGCUUCCUCAGCUUGUUUGGCAGAAUUCUUUUG